UUCCGGUUGAUCCUGCCGGAGGCUACUGCUAUCGGAGUCCGAUUUAGCCAUGCUAGUCCACCGAGCUUUGCUCGGGGCGGAUAGCUGAGUAACACGUGACUAACCUGCCCUAUGGAUGGAGAUAACCUCGCUAACGUGAGGCUAAUAUCCAAUAGCAGAUGAUUGCUGGAAAGCGUCGUCUGUGAAAUGUUCCGACGCCAUAGGAUGGAGUCGCGGCUGAUUAGGUCGUUGGUGAGGUAACGGCUCACCAAGCCAGUAAUCAGUAGCAGCCGCGAGAGCGGGAGCUGCCAGUUGGCUUCUGAGACAAGAAGCCAGACCCUACGGGGUGCAGCAGGCACGAAACCUUCACAAUGCACGAGAGUGCGAUGGGGGGACUCCGAGUGUAAUCUUCCCACAAGGAAGGUUACUUUUCUGCACUGUAAGGAGGUGCCGGAACAAGGGGUGGGCAAUACGGCUGCCAGCCGCCGCGGUAAUAGCAGAACCCCAAGUGGUAGUCGUUAUUAUUGGGCUUAAAGUGUUCGUAGCCUGCCAUGCAAGUCCGCUGUGAAAUCCACGCGCUUAACGUGUGGGCGUGCAGCGGAUACUGUAUGGCUAGGGACCGGACGGCGUUGAGGCUAUUCCCAGGGUAGGAGUGAAAUCCUAAAAUCCUGGGAGGAGCACCUGUGGCGAAAGCGCUCAACGAGUACGGAUCCGACGGUGAGGAACGAAAGCCAGGGGAGCAAAGCGGAUUAGAUACCCGCGUAGUCCUGGCCGUUAACAAUGUGCGUUUGAUGUCGGCUAACCUCCGAGGUUAGCCGGUGCCGAAGUGAAAACGUUAAACGCACCGCCUGGGAAGUACGGUCGCAGGGCUGAAACUUAAAGGAAUUGACGGGG
rnacentral:rRNA from 1 species